AAUGAACGCUGGCGGCAUGCCUAACACAUGCAAGUCGAACGAAGGCUUCGGCCUUAGUGGCGCACGGGUGCGUAACGCGUGGGAAUCUGCCCUUGGGUUCGGAAUAACAGUUAGAAAUGACUGCUAAUACCGGAUGAUGUCGUAAGACCAAAGAUUUAUCGCCCAAGGAUGAGCCCGCGUAGGAUUAGCUAGUUGGUGAGGUAAAAGCUCACCAAGGCGACGAUCCUUAGCUGGUCUGAGAGGAUGAUCAGCCACACUGGGACUGAGACACGGCCCAGACUCCUACGGGAGGCAGCAGUGGGGAAUAUUGGACAAUGGGCGAAAGCCUGAUCCAGCAAUGCCGCGUGAGUGAUGAAGGCCUUAGGGUUGUAAAGCUCUUUUACCCGGGAUGAUAAUGACUGUACCGGGAGAAUAAGCUCCGGCUAACUUCGUGCCAGCAGCCGCCGUAAAAC
rnacentral:rRNA from 1 species